rnacentral:rRNA from 1 species
AUUGAACGCUGGCGGCAGGCCUAACACAUGCAAGUCGAAUGGUAACAGGAAACAGCUUGCUGUUUCGCUGACGAGUGGCGGACGGGUGAGUAAUGUCUUGGAAACUGCCUGAUGGAGGGGGAUAACUACUGGAAACGGUAGCUAAUACCGCAUAACGUCGCAAGACCAAAGAGGGGGACCUUCUUGCCUCUUGCCAUCAGAUUUGCCCAGAUGGGAUUAGCUAGUAGGUGGGGUAACGGCUCACCUAGGCGACGAUCCCUAGCUGGUCUGAGAGGAUGACCAGCGACACUGGAAGUGAGACACGGUCCAGACUCCUACGGGAGGCAGCAGUGGGGAAUAUUGCACAAUGGGCGAAAGCCUGAUGCAGCAAUGCCGCGUGUAUGAAGAAGGCCUUCGGGUUGUAAAGUACUUUCAGCGGGGAGGAAGGGAGUAAAGUUAAUACCUUUGCUCAUUGACGUUACCCGAAGAAGAAGCACCGGCUAACUACGUG